rnacentral:sRNA from 1 species
UCAGAAUUACUGUCUAGACAAGUCUCUGC